UUUUUUUUUGAGAGAUAGGUAGCAUGUUAUCUGCUUCGUUUAUUUCAUUUUGAAAUAAACUAUGCUGGAAAUAUGAAUCAACAAGGAUUCGAACUUGAGUCUCGGAUAUCAACCACCAAGCCCUUUGCCACUAGCUCUAGGGACGGUCAGUUGUGGAGCUUUUUUAAUCUUUUGUUUUUACUAUGGUGGAAUUUUUUUUUUCUUUUCUUUGUUUUUUUUCCAAGAGAGAGGGAGAGAGAGAAUGGUUGCAUGCUACCACUUCGUUUAUUUAGCUCGAAAUGAAAAUCAACAGAUUUUGAAUUUGGAACUUCGGUAUCAAUUAUCAAACUCUUUGCCGCUUGCGUUAGGAAAUGUUA
rnacentral:lncRNA from 1 species